UCUGGCACGUGCUGCUGCCUCGGUUUGAAGUGGGGCACGGGAGAAGGGCAAAGAAGAGCGACUUGCCCCAGGCCAAACAGGAGGCAGAGAAUUAGAUGUGGAGGGUUCAUAGGACUGUCUUACUGCCUUUGCAACUAGCAAUGAAAUCACAGCAGUCUUCUUAUUGGUAAUCUUCCUUUUUCCUCUUGUCAUUUCCCCUUCCAAACUUGUGUCCCCCAUGUGCAUGUAUUGCCUCCUAUUCUAUUAAAAUUAAAGCUAGUUAAAAAUGCUUUAUUUUUUUCUGUAAAGGAAUAAAAUGGUUCUGGUUUUCUACGAGAAAUGUUCCCAUUUGACAGGCUGUAAUUCUAGUAGCUGAGAGGUUCAAUAGAGCAGAAGUGACUCAGAAACCAGUUUGCUUUUUCACCUUUUGAGUAAAAUUGAUGUUGCUUUGUGACAGGUACAACCUGUUUACAGUACAAAACAAAUAAACUUCAGCUCCCAUGUCACCCUGUUCCGAGGACAAGGGCAGAGAAGUGAUAUUUGAGCAGCUUUUAUAUUAUAAAAUAUCUACCUUGUAGGUUCCCCAGAAAUUGGAUCUGUCCAUCAUAAAUACCAGAAUGAUCCCUGCCCAAAGGACAAGCAGAGCGAUGCGCCGACGUACACUACCAUCCUCAGUGGCCAACGGGUGCAGGAAAUCCUGAAGGUUGCAAACUUUCUCCUUCAAACAACAUUUGGAACAAUUUUCCUAUCCUUGCCAGUGAAACUCUCGAUGGAAGAGGGAGUGAAUGUCCUGUGGGCACUUCUGUCGCCGUUCUCUCCGGAUUCGUCAUGGAACAGUCGCUGCCGUUUGGGAAGAACAGUAUCUCGGCUGCCUGUUAGAGCAGAGAGCUGCUCCUGCGAUCCAAAAUGGGGCCAUCGCACUGGGCGUUCUUCUGGAAGAUCCAACUCCCCAGAAAUGGAUACUAAAAUAAUUUAAUUUUCAAAAGUUGCAAGAUAUUUAAGGUACCCCAGCCAUAGGUUUCCUGUAUGUGAAAGUGUUAGAAAGUG
rnacentral:lncRNA from 1 species